UCUAGAUUAUAAUGACACCCUGAUAAUGAUGUGCAUUCUUGACUGAGCAGUGGAGAAACCUAACUUGGAGAGUUGAGCAUACA
ensembl:snoRNA SNORD39 Small nucleolar RNA SNORD55/SNORD39